AGUAGCCGCGGUAAUACGUAGGGCGCAAGCGUUAUCCGGAAUUAUUGGGCGUAAAGCGCGCGUAGGUGGUUCAUUAAGUUGGAUGUGAAAGCCCUGGGCUCAACCUGGGAACUGCAUCCAAAACUGGUGAGCUAGAGUACGGUAGAGGGUAGUGGAAUUUCCUGUGUAGCGGUGAAAUGCGUAGAUAUAGGAAGGAACACCAGUGGCGAAGGCGACUACCUGGACUGAUACUGACACUGAGGUGCGAAAGCGUGGGGAGCAAACAGGAUUAGAUACCCCUGUAGUCCCUGUCUCUUAUACA
rnacentral:rRNA from 1 species